CGGGGUGCAGCAGGCGCGAAAACUUUACAAUGCGGGAAACCGUGAUAAGGGAACUCCGAGUGCCCGUAAAAUCGGGCUGUCCAUCUGUUUAAAUAACAGGUGAAGAAAGGGCCGGGCAAGACCGGUGCCAGCCGCCGCGGUAAUACCGGCGGCUCGAGUGGUGGCCACUAUUACUGGGCUUAAAGCGUUCGUAGCUGGUCUGUUAAGUCUCUGGGGAAAUCUACUGGCUUAACCAAUAGGCGUUUCAGGGAUACUGGCAGACUAGGGACCGGGAGAGGUGAGGGGUACUCCAGGGGUAGGAGUGAAAUCCUGUAAUCCUUGGGGGACCACCUGUGGCGAAGGCGCCUCACCAGAACGGCUCCGACAGUGAGGGACGAAAGCUGGGGGAGCAAACCGGAUUAGAUACCCGGGUAGUCCCAGCCGUAAACGAUGCGCGUUAGGUGUAUCGGUGACCACGAGUCACCGAGGUGCCGAAGAGAAAUCGUGAAACGUGCCGCCUAGGAAGUACGGUCGCAAGGCUGAAACUUAAAGGAAUUGGCGGGGGAGCACAAGGGCGAAUCGCGG
rnacentral:rRNA from 1 species